UGGGGAAUCUUAGACAAUGGGCGCAAGCCUGAUCUAGCCAUGCCGCGUGUGUGAUGAAGGCCCUAGGGUCGUAAAGCACUUUCGCCAGGGAUGAUAAUGACAGUACCUGGUAAAGAAACCCCGGCUAACUCCGUGCCAGCAGCCGCGGUAAUACGGAGGGGGUUAGCGUUGUUCGGAAUUACUGGGCGUAAAGCGCACGUAGGCGGACUAUUAAGUCAGGGGUGAAAUCCCGGGGCUCAACCCCGGAACUGCCCUUGAUACUGGUAGUCUUGAGUUCGAGAGAGGUGAGUGGAAUUCCGAGUGUAGAGGUGAAAUUCGUAGAUAUUCGGAGGAACACCAGUGGCGAAGGCGGCUCACUGGCUCGAUACUGACGCUGAGGUGCGAAAGUGUGGGGAGCAAACAGG
rnacentral:rRNA from 1 species